UUAUCCCGAUUAUUGGGUUUAAAGGGAGCGUAGGCGGACGUUUAAGUCAGUUGUGAAAGUUUGCGGCUCACCGUAAAAUUGCAGUUGAUACUGGGUGUCUUGAGUACAGUAGAGGCAGGCGGAAUUCGUGGUGUAGCGGUGAAAUGCUUAGAUAUCACGAAGAACUCCGAUUGCGAAGGCAGCUUGCUGGACUGUAACUGACGCUGAUGCUCGAAAGUGUGGGUAUCAAACAGGAUUAGAUACCCUGGUAGUCCACACAGUAAACGAUGAAUACUCGCUGUUUGCGAUAUACAGUAAGCGGCCAAGCGAAAGCGUUAAGUAUUCCACCUGGGGAGUACGCCGGCAACGGUGAAACUCAAAGGAAUUGACGGGGGCCCGCACAAGCGGAGGAACAUGUGGUUUAAUUC
rnacentral:rRNA from 1 species